rnacentral:lncRNA from 1 species
UUACAGAUACAAUCGACUUAACAUUACAUGAUAGUAAAAACAGCCUUACGAGAUUCGUGUACUUAUAUCUGUCAAACUAUUGUUCACCGCCAAAAUUCCCAAUUAUACAUGGGGUCUGUAUAUUUUAACAAAAAGAAGAACAAAUGUAUUUUACCAUACUCAAUUCACGAGGAUACAUCUAUCGGCAUAAGUUUUGAUAUAUGGUAACUCAAAAUAGAACAAGUAUAAAUGUUCUGGACUGCUUGUUGUAAUCAGUUGUACCCUUUCACUCGUGAAAAUGCCAUUCCUCUGCAGACCUGGUAUUCAUAGAUUCGAACAUAUAGAAACUCUCAACAACAAUUUCCAAGUGAAGGAAAGUAAUCAAUCAAACCAAGAUAAAUUAUUAUUUAGUACCAAUAGUAUAAUUAAGCUUAGUGGACAAACCUUCAUGAAGGUAGCAAGAGUUUCUGCAAAUUUGUGGAAGUACAUCUCUCAAUCAGCACUUUACUGCAUGUUUCGGUUAUUUUGACUGCUACAAUUCAAUUUAUAACUGAUAUACGUAAAUUAUUUCAAUUAAAAAAAUAACAGAGCAAACAAACAUAUUUUAGUGGAUCUACACUAACAAAAGAAAAACAGUUACAUACCCUUGAGCGAAACUCCUGUUCAAGUAAAAUGAUGCAUCUGUAUUAUCUGUUAUGUUUUUUUUAGCCCCUAUCAUCUAAAUAUGCAAGAAUGAAAACACUUAUUAUCAGCAAUUAUAUAUGAAACAUAAUCGCAUUAUAUGGAAUAAAAACCAAACAAAGUUAACCCUUUACCUUUGCUAAGCACCACAUCAUAUAUAAAUCUAGAAUUUGGCAAAGUAGCAAUCUUCUCAUAAGCCAACUGAAGUAAAGGAAUAUAACAACCACUUCAGCUACAAAGUAAUAAUACUUCGAAAUUAAUAGAAAGAGGAGAUCAAAUUAUUCCAAUGUACCGAAAUUAGUAACUUUAUCUCACAUUGUAGAGCACAUUGGAGCAAUUUAUCCAAUAGGUACCACCUCGCUGAAGUUGUUGGAAACACCUACAGACCUUUUUUAAAAGCUGAAAAAUAACAGAUAUUAUAAUUAGAAAACUCUUUGGAACUUAAAAACAAGAAACCACUACGAAGUAUUUUUCAAUACUUUAUCAACAAAGGGAACUGCUAUAUACCUCUUAUUUGUAAGGUAUGCAAGAUGCAUAUUAACAUGUUCUUAUUGUUCUUUCAACUCGGUCGAAAUAAAAGAAUAACCAAUUUUUUUUUCAAUUUUAACAUUUUUAUUUGGACUCAAUAGCUAUAGCAACAUCUCAUAAAUGCCCAAACACUAGACAACUCGGUGGGAAUAUAACAUAAGAGAAACAAUAUGUUCUAGAAUUCUAACCAUAAUGUUUAUCCUUCUAAGACUUUCAUUAGAGUUAUUAGAAGUAAGACAACAAUUCAUUGACAACAUGACUUGUCUUCGUUGUCGGUCUACGAAUAGUAUGAUGAAAAACACUUUCAGCUCAAAGACAGAGAAAUACAUUCAUUCACUCAAAUGAAAAAAAUAAGAUGUUAACUGCACAAAGUUUUAUCACGGCUGCAGAAUUAUAUAUAAAUUGAUUCAAGGAAUAGAACAGACACGUCUUCAAUAAACUGAAUUAUAAACAUUCUUAAUUCAACAUUACACUCAUUAGAGUUGAAAAACAAAAGAAAAUAACUCAUUUCAAUUCCAUCUAAAAAUAACUCAAAAUCAAUAUAAUUGAGUUGUGUGCAAAUAAAUCUGAACAAAUUGAUGUGUUCAAUAAACUAAUACCCAAAAAAAAAUGAAGUUUCUUAAUUUCAUCAGAAAAGAAAUCGAAGAUUCAAUACAUAUUCCGCAUAUUAAUCCCAAAAAGACAAGCAACAACAAUUAAAACCUAGAAAAAAAAACUAAUAACGGGGAAAAAGUUUUACCUCGAAGGCAUAUUAUAAGGAACGGAUUGUGCUCUUCGAAUUCUUUUGCGAGACUCUGCCGAAAAUUGGGGAAAGAAAGAGAGGGAGGAAAACUAGAAGCUGUGUGA